GGAGGAGUACCCAAGUCCGGCUGAAGGGAGCGGUCUUGAAAACCGCCAGGAGGUUUGCGCCUCGCGGGGGUUCGAAUCCCUCCUCCUCCGCCA
rnacentral:tRNA from 1 species